rnacentral:rRNA from 1 species
AGUGAACGCUGGCGGUAGGCCUAACACAUGCAAGUCGAACGGCAGCACAGUAAGAGCUUGCUCUUACGGGUGGCGAGUGGCGGACGGGUGAGGAAUACAUCGGAAUCUACUUUUUCGUGGGGGAUAACGUAGGGAAACUUACGCUAAUACCGCAUACGACCUACGGGUGAAAGCAGGGGAUCUUCGGACCUUGCGCGAUUGAAUGAGCCGAUGUCGGAUUAGCUAGUUGGCGGGGUAAAGGCCCACCAAGGCGACGCUCCGUAGCUGGUCUGAGAGGAUGAUCAGCCACAGUGGAACUGAGACACGGUCCAGACUCCUACGGGAGGCAGCAGUGGGGAAUAUUGGACAAUGGGCGCAAGCCUGAUCCAGCCAUACCGCGUGGGUGAAGAAGGCCUUCGGGUUGUAAAGCCCUUUUGUUGGGAAAGAAAAGCAGCAGGUUAAUACCCCGCUGUUCUGACGGUACCCAAAGAAUAAGCACGGGCUAACUUCGUG